UACGGAGGGUGCGAGCGUUGUUCGGAAUUACUGGGCGUAAAGCGCGUGCAGGCGGCCGACUAAGUCAGGUGUGAAAGCCCGGGGCUCACCUCCGGAAGUGCGCUUGAAACUGGUUGGCUAGAGUACGGGAGAGGGAAGCGGAAUUCCUGGUGUAGCGGUGAAAUGCGUAGAUAUCAGGAGGAACACCUGUGGUGUAGACAGCUUACUGGACCACUUCUGACGCUGAGACACGAAAGCGUGGGUAGCAAACAGG
rnacentral:rRNA from 1 species